rnacentral:rRNA from 1 species
CUAAUACAUGAACCAACGGGGCGCUCUCUGUUCCGGCGGUGGGGCAACUCACCGCCUUGGGACGCCCAGCGAAUGAAUGAAAGUAAAACCAAUGCCUUCACUGGCAGUAACACCCAGAAGUGUUGACUCAAUUCAUUCCGUGCGAAAGCCGGGUUUUUUACUCGGCGUCUUUUGACGAACAACUGCCCUAUCAGCCAGCGAUGGCCGUGUAGUGGACUGCCAUGGCGUUGACGGGAGCGGGGGAUUAGGGUUCGAUUCCGGAGAGGGAGCCUGAGAAAUAGCUACCACUUCUACGGAGGGCAGCAGGCGCGCAAAUUGCCCAAUGUCAAAAAAAAACGAUGAGGCAGCGAAAAGAAAUAGAGCCGACAGUACCUUUUGGUAUUGUCGUUUUCAAUGGGGGAUAUUUAAAUCCAUCGAAAAUCGAGUAACAAUUGGAGGACAAGUCUGGUGCCAGCACCCGCGGUAAUUCCAGCUCCAAAAGCGUAUAUUAAUGCUGUUGCUGUUAAAGGGUUCGUAGUUGAAUUGUGGGCCUUUGAGGCGCAAUGGUUUUGUCCCGUCCACUUCGGAUUG